CUCAAAUGAAUUGACGGGGGCCCGCACAAGCGGUGGAGCAUGUGGUUUAAUUCGAUGCAACGCGAAGAACCUUACCUGGUCUUGACAUCCACAGAAUUCUGCAGAGAUGCGGAAGUGCCUUCGGGAACUGUGAGACAGGUGCUGCAUGGCUGUCGUCAGCUCGUGUUGUGAAAUGUUGGGUUAAGUCCCGCAACGAGCGCAACCCUUAUC
rnacentral:rRNA from 1 species